AUUGAACGCUAGCGGGAUGCUUUACACAUGCAAGUCGAACGGCAGCGCGGACUUCGGUCUGGCGGCGAGUGGCGAACGGGUGAGUAAUGCAUCGGAACGUGCCCAGUAGCGGGGGAUAACUACGCGAAAGCGUAGCUAAUACCGCAUACGCCCUACGGGGGAAAGCAAGGGAUCGUAAGACCUUGCACUAUUGGAGCGGCCGAUAUCGGAUUAGCUAGUUGGUGAGGUAACGGCUCACCAAGGCGACGAUCCGUAGCUGGUUUGAGAGGACGACCAGCCACACUGGGACUGAGACACGGCCCAGACUCCUACGGGAGGCAGCAGUGGGGAAUUUUGGACAAUGGGGGCAACCCUGAUCCAGCCAUCCCGCGUGUGCGAUGAAGGCCUUCGGGUUGUAAAGCACUUUUGGCAGGAAAGAAACGUCGCGGGCUAAUACCCCGUGGAACUGACGGUACCUGCAGAAUAAGCACCGGCUAACUACGUG
rnacentral:rRNA from 1 species